CUGUGUUUUCUCUCGCCUCAGACUGUCAUUGGCAAAUAAUAACAGGUAUUAUCUGCGAGCCUCUUUUUCAGGUUUCGUUGUUAGGUAUAUAUUGAAUUCGGCAACGUUAUCACGUAUUUUAUCAGGUAUAUAUAUAUAUUAUAUAUAUAUAUAUAUUUAUACC